AUGAAUCUGCUACGGAUUUUCCUGUUCAUGCUGGUGGCCCCUUUAGGUGUCCUCUCCCAAGUGCAGCUGCGGGAAACGGGCCCGGGAGUGGUGAAACCCGGGGAGUCCCUGACACUCACUUGUACCAUCUCCGGAGACUCGGUUUCUAGCACCAGCGCCAUCUGGAACUGGAUCCGGCAGCCCGCGGGGAAAGGGCUGGAAUGGGUGGGACGCAUUUACUACAGACCGAGUCAGUGGCACACGAACUACGUCAGCGCUCUGCAGAGUCGAACGACCAUCACACAAGACACUUCCAAGAACCAGUUCUCCCUGCAGCUCCGCUCGCUGACAGCCGCAGACACCGGCACCUAUUACUGCGCCAGACACACAGUGACUCAGAGCAGAGCAGGGGCUGGCACAAAAAGGGGAAGCGGAUUCUGUCCACUUAAUUUUCACAGUUUGAACUGUAAGAGCUGA